CCUACUCUUGAUCUUCAACGGUCUUCAAGUUGCUUCAAUCUCCAAAUCUAAUUAGAACUAGUGUUUUGAUCUAAUUUACUCUAAUCUAAUCUAAUGGAAUCCUCUAUCAAGUCUCUAAUCUCCCCUAAUCCUUGUGAUUCUCCUCCUUUUAUAAGUCUCUUUAUAUGUCUUUAAGUCAUCUUGGAAGUCCUCUUGGAAGUCCUUGUGUCAAUCGGAUCGAAACAAUCCUUUCCGGACUCAAAUUGGACCAAAACUCGCAUUUUCGCGCAUUUUCUGGGCAUACCCCCGCCCCGACGGGGGUCUAGGCUUGUUUUGGGCCCGCCCCGGCGGGCUAGGGGCCUGUCUUGUGACUUGCAUGCCCACCCCGGCUGCGGUUUUGUGAAGGAAAAGUUUCUACUCUGACGUCUUUUGGGAAAAUGAUCAUAACUUUUGAUCCGGAAAGAGUUACGAGGCCUGCUACCUAUCAAAUCGAAGAUAUCGACGAGAUCUACAACUUUCAUGCUUUGAGAUUUUAGAAAUAACGGACGGAUAAAGGUCGUAAUUUGGCUGAAAUUGUCUGCUAUGCAAAUGGCCACCCAAAACAGUGACGUUCGACGUGCGUUGGUACAAAUGUCAUAACUCUUGCAUCCGAACUCCGAUUGGAAUGAUU
rnacentral:lncRNA from 1 species